CAAAAUACCUCAGGGCAUUCCCCGGUGAAUAAAGAUAUACAGAUACUUCGGGACAUUCCCCGGCCAAAUAGUACAAUUGAUCCAAAAGUGAUAAAAUUAAACCAUUCAACACACAUUUCAACAUUCACCGCAUUGAAUCAACACCUCACUCCUAACUUUUGCCUACCCGCACCUAAAUAUUUUUGCCUAUUCAAUUCGACCUAUCAGGAUACUAUCAAGCUCGAUAUCAAUGAAUCAAAUCAACAAAAUCAUUUUUUAUCAACUUUUAAAUUCCGCCCCAGAACAAUCAAUUUUAAUUCUCAGACGAGAUAUCAUUUCAUGACACACCUUAUAAUCAAUCCAUAAUCAAAGAAAUCAAACAUCGAAUCAAAACAAAUAACGAUUCACAUCAGCACGGAUCAACCGACACAUUGGAUUCAAUUCAAAGCAUAGAACACGAUAAAUAACAAAAUAUAUAAGAGAAGGAAUAGAAUUGAACCUCGAUAGAACGUUCUUGUAUGAUAAUAAAGAAAUCCGAAGACCAAAAUACUCGAAAGGAGAACCUCAAACGCGAAUCUCCCCAAAUUUGAACUCGGCGUUGAAAAUUGAAACCCAAGAUUAGUGGCCAUGAACAGGUCAAGACAAACAAAACCAACAAUGAAUCCCUAAAACCUGAUAUGGCGACGAAAGACAAAGCUUAGACGAACCCAAACCCUAAUAUGUGAUGGACUCACAAGAAUAAUAUAGCUCGAGCUUCGAUUAGCUCAGACUAGCAUAAACGGACAGAAACAAAUCAGAAUCUGGUGCACUUGACCUUUCUGGUGGAAUCUCAAACCUAGUACCUGAAUCUGACCGAAAUCCAACGAAGAAAAGAGAUUCUGGUGAGAGCAACGAUGGGCGAAAAUUGACCAGAUAGUCAGCUCUCCGGCGAUUUUCGAUGCUCUUUAGCUAGAGUCACCUGAACUAUUUAGGAACGGACGGCUCCGGCAAACAGGUCAUCGGAAAAAAAAAUUGACCCACCUGAUUCUUGGUGAUUUCCGUCCUCCUAUCUCGUCUUAAUGUCCUCCGUGUGUGUGUGAAUCGUGGUGUGCCCAAAAACAACAAAGAAUAGAAAGGAAAAGAAUCAAAAUUCGUCUCCGAAACCAACUCUCGCGUGUGUGUGCGAUGCUCGAUGUGAGAGAGAUACCUCUGUAUCUAUGGUGAGGGUGACGAUGGAAAAAGAAAAAGACCAGUUGUCCUCUUUUCCAAGAGAUGAGAGAAUGAUGAUGACCAAGCCCCCUCCUUUUGUUAAUAUCCCCCUUCCAAAGGGAGUGUGAUCCCUAUAUGUAUAAAAAUGAAAAAAAACAAAAGUGUUCUUGGCACCUUCCUGGAAGGUUCCCCUGUGGGACCCCUUUUUAGUGUAUGCUUAUCCUUUCUACCUUUGUGGACAAGAAAUGGAGGGGUGGUGAGGUGUUGUUUUUUAAUUGGAGGGACAAGGGUUAGGUGUCUUAUUUUAAUUAAAAGGGUUUUUAGGAUGUUAAAAAGAAUAAAAGUUUGUUAGAAAUUUUGUUGAGAGUUGUGUUUGUAUUUUUUGUGGGAUGUAAUUACAUGGGUGAGGGUAUACGAUAGGAUAAGGUAAAAAUGGGUAAAAAGUGCUAUCAGGAAGGGACAAAAUUACGUGUCUACAUCAUGCUCCCUUUGAGUGCAAACACGCAGUGUUUUCAGACAAAGAAGUAAACGACGAGACCAACUUUUGUCCCGAUCAUUAUUCAAAGAGAGGAGUAAAAGAAAGAAGGACAAUCGAAUCCUGUCGGAUACCCUAUCUACCCAAGUCAUAAGAAAGUCACAAGUAUCUCAAAGGGCUGGAAGAGAAGUGGACUAUACCGAGUUGGAGAGUCGAGUGAGGUUCCAUCGAGGUUUGGGUCCGCGGCUCUGUUAUUACAUCAAAAAAUAAAAAUUACAAGUUAAAACAUAAAUGAAAUUACAAAAUCCUAUCUAUACAACUUCUAUUGGCUCUUGACUCGACUUUUAUCACCCUAUUCUUCAGGCGGGCUCCUGACUUGCAAUUUCUUUCAACUUGUUGCUUGGCUUUCAAUUUCUUCGCUUUGUUGCAUGACUUUUCAUUUCUUCACUCUGUUCUCCAGGCGGGCUCCUGACUUGCUAUUUCAUCACCCUGUUCUUCAGGCAGGCUCCUGAAACCUAAAAUUAAAACUAGAACAAAAAUUAUCCCAAACAAGAAUUAUAGUAAAGUAGUAUUUCAUUUUUGAAAUCGUUGUCCCAUUUUUCAGGAGGGUCCUGAACAGAAAGUAAAGUCCCAUUUUUCAGGAGGGUCCUGAACUGAAAGUAAAAUCCUAUUUUUCAGGAGGGUCCAGAAUUGAAAGUAAAGUCCUAUUUUUCAGGAGGGUCCUGAACUGAAAGUAAAAUCUCUUUUUCAGGAGGGUCCUGAAAUGAAAGUAAAAUCACAUUUUUCAGGAGGUCCUGAACAAAAAGUAAAAUCCCAUUUUCAGGAAGGUCCUGAACAGAAAGUAAAUUUUUAUUUUUCAGGAAGGUCUUGAAUUGAAAGUAAAAUCCCAUUUUACAAGAGGGUCCUGAACAUAAAUUAAAUUCCCAUUUUUUAGGAGGGUCCUGAACAGAAGGUAAAAUCCCAUUUUAAAGGAGGGUCCUGAACAUAAAGUAAAUUCUCAUUUUUCAAGAGGGUCCUGAACAUCAAGUAAAUUCCCAUUUUCCAGGAGGAUCCUGAAUUGAAAGUAAAAUCCCAUUUUUCAGGAGGGUCCUGAAUUGAAAGUAAAGUCUCAUUUUUUAGGAGGGUCCUGAACUGAAAGUAAAGUUCCAUUUUUUAGGAGGGUCCUGAGCAUAAGGUAGAAUCUCAUUUUUCAGGAGGGUCUUGAACAUAAAGUAAAUUUCCAUUUUUCAGGAGGGUCCUGAACAUAAGGUAAAAUCCCAUUUUUUCUAGAGGGUCCUGAAUUGAAAGUAAAGUCCCAUUUUUCAAGAGGGUCCUGAACAUAAAGUAAAAUUCUAUUUUUUAGGAGGGUCCUGAACAUAAAGUAAAAUUUCCAUUUUUCAGGAGGAUCCUGAACAGAAAGUAAAGUCUCAUUUUUCAGGAGGGUCUUGAAUAGAAGGUAAAAUCUCAUUUUCAGGAGGGUCCUGAACUGAAAGUAAAAUCCCAUUUUUCAGGAGGGUCCUAAACAAAAAUAAAAUCCCAUUUUUCAGGAGGGUCCUGAACGUAAAGUAAAUUCCUAUUUUUUAGGAGGGUCCUGAACAGAAGGUAAAAUCCCAUUUUUCAGGAGGGUCCUGAACAUAAAGUAAAUUUUCAUUUUUCAAGAGGGUCCUGAACAACAAGUAAAUUCCCAUUUUUUUCAGGAGAGUCCUGAAUUGAAAGUAAAAUCUCAUUUUUCAGGAAGGUCCUGAACUGAAAGUAAAGUUCUAUUUUUUAGGAGGGUCCUGAGCAUAAAGUAGAAUCUCAUUUUUAGGAGGGUCCUGAACUGAAAGUAAAGUUCCAUUUUUCAGGGGGGUCCUGAGCAUAAAGUAGAAUCUCAUUUUUUAGGAGGGUCCUGAACAUAAAGUAAAUUCCCAUUUUCAGGAGGGUCCUGAACAAAAAGUAAAAUCCCAUUUUCCAGGAGGGUCCUGAAGAGAAGGUAAAAUCCCAUUUUUCAGGAGGGUCCUGAACAUAAAGUAAAUUCUCAUUUUUCAGGAGGGUCCUGAACAGCAAGUAAAUUCCCAUUUUUUAGGAGGGUCCUGAAUUGAAAGUAAAUUUCCAUUUUUCAGGAGGGUCUUGAAUUGAAAGUAAAAUCCCAUUUUUCUGGAGGGUCCUGAAUUGAAAGUAAAAUCCCAUUUUUCAGGAGGGUCCUGAAUUGAAAGUAAAAUCCCAUUUUUCAGGAGGGUCCUGAUUUGGAAGUAAAGUCCCAUUUCUCAGAAGGAUCCUGAACUGAAAGUAAAAUCCCAUUUUUCAGGAGGGUCCUGAAUUGAAAGUAAAAUCCCAUUUUUCAGGAGGGUCCUGAACAUAAAGUAAAAUCCCAUUUUUCAGGAGGGACCUGAACAGAAGGUAAAGUCCCACGGAUGUGCAUUUCCAAUGGUAGCUGAAUUAAGUGAAAGGGAAUUUGCCCCUAAAAACUUACGUGUGGCUUGCAGCUCUUGGCUUCUCAGGUAUCUGCCACAGCACUCGUUCCUUUCAUCUUUGUUCCAAAUUGCUGACACUUGCCCUGUCUUGCCGCAUCAUUGACCCGGAUCCAGAUUGAGGGAAAUGAGCUCUGACUCGAACAAUGGGUUUUCAUUUUACCAUGCCUCUGAGGUGCACUCUUUUCCCAAAUCUGAAUGCUUCCGCGAAUCUAACAGCCUGUCGGUUGAUAGACUUCCUUUGCUUUAUAUUGAAUUACGAUCAUAUUUCUUUCAUGUGCUGGUCCUUGGCUUGUCCUCAUAUAACUGGAAAGACUGGUAGUAAAUUUUGAAAUCCUUUCUCACUUGUUUUAACACAGACUUGACUUAAAAUGUAAAGAAAUGUUGUGACUUUUAUUUUGAUAAAUGACAUAAAAAAAACAAAAAGCAUGAAUAUGUAAAUGAAAGAAAAGGGCAAUGUCCCAUAUUCAGAAAGAAAACUUAUCUGAAUACAACAAACAACUCCAAUGGGUAUGGCAUGCAUUUUGAAUUAAGCUGCCAGAUCUUCCUAUCCAAACUCCCCAUUUGUUGUUGAGUUCGUGCCUUUGCCGCUGAGCCGCUUCUUCAAAUCCAUUGGACUCAUACAUCACAUUCAAUUGAUGACAUCUUACAAGACUUUCGCCAACAAAUCUCUCUCUCUUCACUUUUCACUUUUCUCUUGAACUCGCCAUCGCCUUAUGGUGCCCGUGAGGGUUUUCACCAAUAAGACUCUCUCAUUUUUAUUUCUCUCCACUCACCAUUGCCUUAUGGUGCCUGCGAGGGUUUUCACUAAUAAGACUCUCUCAUUUUCAUUUCUCUCAACUCACCAUCGCCUUAUGAUGCCCGCGGGGGUUUUCACCAAUAAGACUCUCUCAUUUUUAUUUCUCUCCACUCACCAUUGCCUUAUGGUGCCUGCGAGGGUUUUCACUAAUAAGACUCUCUCAUUUUCAUUUCUCUCAACUCACCAUCGCCUUAUGAUGCCCGCGGGGGUUUUCACCAAUAAGACUCUCUCAUUUUUAUUUCUCUCCACUCACCAUUGCCUUAUGGUGCCUGCGAGGGUUUUCACUAAUAAGACUCUCUCAUUUUCAUUUCUCUCAACUCACCAUCGCCUUAUGAUGCCCGCGGGGGUUUUCACCAAUAAGACUCUCUCAUUUUUAUUUCUCUCCACUCACCAUUGCCUUAUGGUGCCUGCGAGGGUUUUCACUAAUAAGACUCUCUCAUUUUCAUUUCUCUCAACUCACCAUCGCCUUAUGAUGCCCGCGGGGGUUUUCACCAAUAAGACUCUCUCAUUUUUAUUUCUCUCCACUCACCAUUGCCUUAUGGUGCCUGCGAGGGUUUUCACUAAUAAGACUCUCUCAUUUUCAUUUCUCUCAACUCACCAUCGCCUUAUGAUGCCCGCGGGGGUUUUCACCAAUAAGACUCUCUCAUUUUGUAUUUUUUUCCUGAUUUCUUAUGCUGAAGGAGACAAGUGGUACCUCACAAUGUAUCAUCAUAUCCAUUGAAUGCUUAGCCUUAACAUUAUCAAAAAUUGAUCUGAAGGACUUUCUUUGGUUGUAACUUGGCUUUCGGAUAAGGUUAGAAAAGGAUGGCAAGAGGUUCAAAUGACACUUGAAGUGGUGGUGGGACUUACAACUUUUGGAAUCGACUCAAACAACAUAUUAUCUCAUGCCCCAAUUUUUGUUGACUGGGUGACUCUAAAAUCUUUAUUUGGUUGGACCGAGCUCGAAAUAGGACAGCCCACGUAUCUUACUCCCGAGAGAGGAGAAUCAGGUCGCACGUAGUUCCAUAAGCUUGUUCUUUGUUUUGAUUUUUUUUUGAACUCUUUCUUUUAUUCUUAUUUUCUUGACAUUUAUAUUUGACUAUAUUUUGAUUCCAAAAGAGGGAUAUGAAAGAAAAAAAAUAAAACAAAGCUCAAACGGGUAAAUAAUGGAUGACACAAUGUUUGGAUAGAAGAAUAAAAUACCUUCAUCAUAUCAAUCUUCAAAAAUGCAAGUACUAAACAUGCAAUAAAAUCAAAAAAGGAUAAAAUAUCAUACAUAAUAUCUUUUGACCGCANNNNNNNNNNNNNNNNNNNNNNNNNNNNNNNNNNNNNNNNNNNNNNNNNNNNNNNNNNNNNNNNNNNNNNNNNNNNNNNNNNNNNNNNNNNNNNNNNNNNNNNNNNNNNNNNNNNNNNNNNNNNNNNNNNNNNNNNNNNNNNNNNNNNNNNNNNNNNNNNNNNNNNNNNNNNNNNNNNNNNNNNNNNNNNNNNNNNNNNNNNNNNNNNNNNNNNNNNNNNNNNNNNNNNNNNNNNNNNNNNNNNNNNNNNNNNNNNNNNNNNNNNNNNNNNNNNNNNNNNNNNNNNNNNNNNNNNNNNNNNNNNNNNNNNNNNNNNNNNNNNNNNNNNNNNNNNNNNNNNNNNNNNNNNNNNNNNNNNNNNNNNNNNNNNNNNNNNNNNNNNNNNNNNNNNNNNNNNNNNNNNNNNNNNNNNNNNNNNNNNNNNNNNNNNNNNNNNNNNNNNNNNNNNNNNNNNNNNNNNNNNNNNNNNNNNNNNNNNNNNNNNNNNNNNNNNNNNNNNNNNNNNNNNNNNNNNNNNNNNNNNNNNNNNNNNNNNNNNNNNNNNNNNNNNNNNNNNNNNNNNNNNNNNNNNNNNNNNNNNNNNNNNNNNNNNNNNNNNNNNNNNNNNNNNNNNNNNNNAUCUACCACAGCCUUCUUUUUCACUGACUUGAAAGUUACUGCUUCUACCCACUUUGUGAAGUAAUCAAUGGCUACCAAAAUGAAUCUAUGUCUAUUUGAUGCCUUCGGCUCAAUCGGUCCAAUCACAUUUAUUCCCCAAGCCACAAACGGCCAUGGAGAGGCCAUUACGUGCAGCUCAGCAGGAGGAGAACGUAUCAGAUCACCGUGUACCUGACAUUGAUGACACUUUUGAACAAAUCGAAUAGAAUCCCUCUCCAUAGUAAGCCAGUAAUAACCUGCUCGAAGAAUCUUCUUUGACAAGACAUGACCGUUCAUAUGCGACCCGCAUACUCCAGAGUGUAUUUCGACCAUGAUUGUCGAGGCUUCUCUUGCAUCUACACAUCUCAAAAGUCCCAGAUCUGGGGUUCUCUUAUAUAAGAUCCCCCCACUUAAGAAAAAUCCACUAGCCAAACGCCUAAUAGUGCUCUUUUGAUCGUUGGUGGCAUAUGUUGGGUAUUCUCCUGACUGGAUGUAUCGCUUGAUAUCCAAGAACCAGGGUACUCCAUCGAGCUCUUCUUCAACCACAUUAUAGUAAGCAUGCUUAUCAUGACUCUGUAUAUGCACAGGAUCGAUGUAGGCUUUAUCAGGAUGUUGGAGCAUUGAAGAUAGAGUGGCUAAAGCGUCAGCAAUUUCAUCACGAAUCCUUGAAAUAUGCCUAAAUUUUACUAACACAAACCAUUGACAUAACUCCUGCAAGCAUUGUCGAUACGGGAUGAGCUUCAAAUCUCACGUCUCCCAAUCUCCUUGAAUUUGAUGGACGAUCAAAUCUGAAUCCCCCAACACCAAUAAUUCCUAGACUCCCAUACCAACAGCUAACCUCAAACCAACAAUGUAAGCUUCAUACUCUGCCAUAUUGUUAGUACAGUAAAAUUAAAGUUGUGCUAUUACCGGGAAAUGUUGUCCCGAUUCAGAGAUAAGAACCGCACCUAUUCUGAUUUCUUUCAUAUUGACAGCUCCAUCAAAGAACAACUUCCAACCUGGAUCAGCAUCUAUAACAACUUCAUCGACACACGAUACUUUUUCAUCAGGAAAAUAUGUCUUUAAUGGCUCGUACUCUUUAUCGAUGAGAUUCUUAGCAAGAUGAUCUUUCAAGGCUUGGGCUUUUAUGGUGGUUUGAGUCACAUAUACAAUGUUGAACUCAGUAAGCAAUAUUUUCCACUUUGCCAAUCGACCUGUCGGCAUAGGGUUCUAAAAGAUAUACUUCAAAGGAUCCAUGCAGGAGAUGAGAUAAGUAGUAUAGGAUGAGAGAUAAUGCUUCAACUUCUGUGCUACCCAAGUUAUGGCACAACACGUCCUUUCAAGAAGAGUAUACCUAGCCUCAUAUGCGGUGAACUUCUUGCUAAGAUAAUAAAUAACCUGCUCCUUUUUUCCUGUGACAUCAUGUUGACCCAGGACACAACCAAAAGAAUUAUCCAUGACUGAUAAAUAUAAGAUCAAAGGCCUAUCAGGCUCCGAUGUUACCAGCACGGUCGGAUUUGAUAAAUAUCUUUUGAUUCUGUCGAACGCUUCCUGACAUUCUUCAGUCCAUUUUACCGCAGCACUCUUUUUCAACAACUUGAAUAUGGGCUCAGAAGUGGUUGUGAGUUGAGCAAUAAACCUGCUAAUAUAGUUCAAUCUACCAAGCAAACUCUUCACUUUCGUCCUAUUCUUGGGUGGGGGCAAAUCCUGAAUGGCUUUGAUUUUCUAGGGAUCCAAUUUAAUCCCCCGAUGGCUGACUACAAACCCCAAUAGCUUUCCAGACGGAACUCCAAAUACACAUUUUGUCGGGUUGAGCUUGAGAUUAUACCUGCGAAGCCUUUCAAUGAACUUUCUUAAAUCUUUAACAUGCCCGGCUUGACUUUUUAACUUAAUAAUCAUAUCAUCCACGUAGACCUCAAUCUUCUUAUGCAUCAUAUUAUGAAUCAUAGUGGUCAUGUCUCUCAUGUAUGUUGCUCCAGUAUUCUUCAAACCGAACGGCAUCACCCAAUAAUAAUAGGUCCCCCAUAGUGUGAUAAAAUACGUCUUCUCCGCGUCUUCAUCAUCCAUAAUGAUCUGGUGAUAUCCGGUAUAGCAAUCCACAAAAGAGGCAACCUCGUGUUUAGCACAAUUGUCUAGCAAAAUAUGGAUUUUGGGCAGUGGAAAAUCAUCUUUUGAACUUGCUCUAUUCAAAUCACGAUAAUCAACACAUGAAUUUUGCCAUCUUUCUUUGGUACGGGAACAACAUUGGAUAACCACAUGGGAUAACGAGCCACUCGAAUUACUUUGGCUUCAAGUUGUUUCAUAAUUUCCUCUUUGAUUUUAAUACUUACAUCAGUUUUAAACUUUCUCAACUUCUGUUUGAUAGGAGGGAAUGCGGGGUCAGUUGGCAAUUUAUGAGCCACUAAUUCAGUGCUGAAACCAGGCAUAUCAUCAUAAAACCAUGCAAAAACAUCGUUAUAAUCAAUUAAUGCUUGAAUCAUUCCAUCUUUUAGAUUGGAAAAGCAUGCACACUGAUUUUAGUUUCCCUAACAUCUUGAUUCCCUAGAUUUAUUGGUUCCAUCUCGUUCAAAUUAGGAUUCGGUUUGUCUUCAAACUAUUUUAACUCUUUGCUUAUUUCUUCUAGUGCUUCUUCUUUAUCAUAUUCCCCAUCCUGCUUUAUUACAUCUUGAUUAGUCUGGAUUUUAAGAUCAGGCUGAAAAUUCCGCAUGCAUGUCAUGUCAUUAGAAUCAGCAUAAAUAGAACUGUAUAUAAAAAAAGAAAAAUAAAAUAUAUUAGACAUGAAACAAAAGGGACAUUGUAUUUCAUUAAAUAAAAAGAUAGAAGGGCUUAAGCAUAGAUGCCAACAUAACAUAAACAAACUAAAAAUCCAAAUUACAACCUUGAAAUAACUCGAAUAAACAGAAAGAAAAACAAAAUAAACUACCAAAACUCCCUCCUAACGGGGAGAGGAGUGACUUUCCAAUUAUUGAGUCGGACAGCUGGACCUAUGAAUUGCACGUCUGUCAUACUGGUACCUUCUCCUGCUUCGACCAUAUCAACUUUAAUUAAAAGGUUCUGGCAGUUAUCAACCAAUUCAACUUCAAAUUUCACAUGCUUCGUGACACCGCUCUUAAAAAAUGAUUCACUGAGUAGUGGCAUUGGGCGAGGGAGUGACCAUGUUUCCUUUUUCCUUCCCUUGGCUUUCUUUAGAUCUUCAGCCGUAGGCUCAAAUCCCAGACCAAACGUGCCCACGUUCUCACUCGAAUAUAUGGAAUGAACUAUACCAUGCAGAGACGCUCCCGAACCCUUUCCUGGCUUAAAUUCGUAUUUCUUACGUUCGCUCACCAUCAUGAUAGAAGCGAAAGACAAUUGUGGUCCCGGUAUAACCUGCCAUUCAAGGAUACGAUUCACUGGCGAUAGACGAAUAUUUCCUCUACGUUAUUUGCUUCAAUAAGAGACAAGGGAGAAUCUUCGCAGGCAGACAAAUCUCCUUCACCGUGAAUAACCACUUCUUGCCUAUCAUGCUCAAACUUAAUCAUUUGGUGCAAUGCAGAUGCAACCGCCUUGGCCUUGUGGAUCCACGGCCUUCCCAACAACAGAUUGUAAGAGGAGUCUAUAUUCAAUAUUUGAAACUCUAUGGAGAACUCAACAGGCCCUAUGAUCAACAUUAGUUCUAUUUCGCCAAUGGAGUUUGAUUUUGCACUAUCGAAAGCCCUGACAUAUACAUUGUUGGGCCUGAUCCUCUCAGAACCAAUAUUCAACUUUUGCAAAGUAGAAAUAGGGCAGAUAUUUGCACCUGAACCUCCGUCAAUCAUAACAUGAGUGACGUAGAAAUCUUCGCACUUCACUGUAAUGUAAAGGCCCCGGUUAUGCCCUAUACCUUUAACAGGCAAUUCAUCAGAAAAGCUGAUCCGAUUGACCUCAAAGAUUUUUUCGACCAUUUUCUCAAGCUGAUUUAUUGUAAUCUCCCUAGGAACAUAUGCUUCAUUUAAUACCUUUAGUAAAAUAUCACGAUGCUCCUUGGAGUGCAACAACAAAGAUAAGAGGGCAAUUUGAGCAGGGGUUUUCUUCAACAUUAUUGAAUACUCUGGCAAUUUCAUCUUUAUCAAAAAUUCUUCGGCUUCUUCUUCGGUGAUAGGCUUUUUGAUAGAUGACUGUCCACUCACAAUUGGCUUGGACUUUCUUAAACUUUUAGGCACGAAGCAUCUUCCUGACCUAGUCAAACCCCCUACCUCAUCUACAUCUUCCACUACUUUUUUCCAGUGAUAGGUCAUCACAGUCCGCCCAUAAUUCCAGGGAACCCUUUUCGUAUCAACUAUCGGAGGUUGGGUCACCAGUUUGAGGACAAUAGGCACUGCCACCAUUUCUUUCACCAUCAAGAUGGGCUUACUCGGAGCUCCUACCACUGUCAACUUAGGUUUAUCCUGACUUAAAUCAACAUACCUUUUGGCACCUUGCACCAUGAUUAGGGGUUUUUUUGUGCUUUCUUAGUCUUUAUCUUCUCUCAUUCCUUCCUGGAUCAAUGACAUUGAUUUCAAAAACUCUACUACAUUCACCGAUUUCUCCUCAAUAUUUUGUAUCUUGACGAUAGGCUUAUAACACCUUGAUGACUCUUUCCCAUCAUAUAUCAAUUCUAACAUGUUGGUUUCAGCAUGGGUUGGCAGCGGAUUCUGGUUAAUGUUUUGACCCUUCGGGGCCUGGACCGGCAUCUGAUUUGUGUCAAUUAAAUCUUGGACAGCUUUCUUUAAAUGCCAGUAUUUCUUGAUAUCAUGGCCUGGUAUGUCAGAACAGUAUGCACACCUUAAAGAAUAAUCGAGAUUCCUCAGCGGUGGAUUUGAAAGCUUUCCUUGAAUUGGGCUUAAGACCUUCAACUUUCUCAACCUAUCAAACAAGCUAGCAUAUGACUCCCCAAGAGGUGUGAAUUGAUUUUUGACCGCCUUCUCUUUCUUAUACUCGGGCCUAGGUUGAAAACUGGAGGGGUUUUGGUAAUUCGGUAGAGCGAAUGGGCGAUUUUGUGGAGCUUGCGCGCGCCAUUGCAGGUAAGAAGGGGUUUGGGUAUAUGGAUGCACGCUAUAUUCUGGGUACGGAGGUGGUGGAAUAGAAUAUAAAGGGUUUUGUGAAGGGUAGCAAUGAUGGGGAGGAAUAUAUGGAGCUUGGGCGUAGACUUGGGCUUGAGAUUGGGGAUAGGGGUGAGGUGGUCUUUUGGGAUAGGAAUGGGUUCCAACUACGACAGUCGCCACAUCCUCUUUUUUCUUUUUACCUUCGAAUGUGCCAGAUCCACCUUGAAUCACUUGUGUGGUGGCUUUCAAUACGACAAAACUCACUAUUCAGCCCGUCUUGAUUCCAUCCUCUAUCAUCUCCCCCAUUUUGAGGACUUCAAUAAAAGACUUUCCCAUUGUCGAAAGUUAAUGUGGAAAAUAGGUCUCAUCCUGUGCCUGAAUGAAAACCUCUACCAACUUACUUUCUCUCAUUGAAGGCUUUACCCUGGCGGCCUGUUCACACCACCUUAUCGCGUAUUCCCUAAAAUCUUCAAUGCUUUUCUUCUUCAUGUUGACCAAGGAUUUUUCGUCUGGAAUCAGGUCGAUGUUAUACUAAAAAUAUUGCACAAACUCAGAAGCUAAGUCAUCCCAGCUAUUCCACUUGUCGAUAUCUUGAUCGAUAAACCAUUCUAAAGCUAGAUCAGAAAGACUCUCGCCAAAUAAAGCCAUGAGCAGCUCUUUCCUUCCUCCUGCAGCCCUCAAUUGGUUGCAAUAACAUCUCAAGUGUGCCACGGGAUCACCGUGCCCUGCAUACUUCUCGAACUUGGGCAUUUUUAAACUAAGGGGAAGGUUGAUGUCUGGGAACAUGCAAAGAUCUUUAUAGGAAACACUCUUAUAACCUCUGAUUCCCUGCAAAUUCUUAAUAGCCUGUUCUAAACUUUUUAGCUUCCGUGCUAGACUUUUAUUUCCUCUGUUGCGACAAGUUUCUCCAUAUCAAAUGGAAAUGCAGGUGGCUGAGUGUACCCAUACAAUUCAUUCAUUCUUAAAGUAGGCUCCGAGGCAUAAUACUGACUAUUUGGAACCUUCAAUACUGGCUCACUGACAGAUCUAGGAAGCCCCAUUGUCGGACGCACAGCAUAUGUAGGAGCUUCAAAUGGUGUCGGAGCCACGAAUACCGAUGUGAUCGGUGGCGCCGGAUGAGCAGCGGGUCUUGAUUGGGGAGCUGCCAAGGGCACACCAGAACUGCCAGGAUGAUAAUGUCACGGAGUGAAUCCUGGCGCGUGCACAGGUGACUCUGUAGGAGCAUAGAAUUGCUCCUGAGAGAGCGCUGGGCAAUUAGAGAUAUUACCAACACCUUCAGGGAGCGGAGGAGGAGGCAUUCUGCUGGCCUAUGCCCUACGCAAAUCUAUCAAUUGUUGCCUGAGCCUUACUACCUCAUCAUUGUGUUCUAAACUUUCUUCACUGUGAUCCUGAUCUGGGUCAAUGAGCGAAUUUUCAAUCUCCCUGCUAGCCAUGGCGAGCUUUGCUUUGAAUCUAGUGAAGUAUGGGUGACUAGCCAGAGUGCUGCAAACCUACCACUGUUAUUUGAAAGAACAUGCUCAUCAAAGACGACAUCCGUUAGGAUUAGGGCACACAACAAGCAUGGGAAUCACAUUGGUAAAAUUGUCCUAAAUUCAUGUUCAUUUCUACCAGCUUUUGAGGGUAGCGAGGUCAUUUUAACAUCAUCCCAAUUUUUAUCUACACUUAUUUUUUUCUACACUUAUUAUUAUUAUUAUUAUUAUUAUUAUUUUCGCCCUCCUUUCCCUCCUUUUUUUUAUCAAUCUCUGUUCUUUCCCUUUAUUGUCUCAUCAUCCUUUCUUUCUUUUCUUCUCUCGCUAUCUACCUUCAUUUUAUCAUUCUUUAUGACUUUUGUUUUUCUUAAAAAGAGGAAAAAUAAUGAAAAAUAAUGAAACGAAAUGAUUAGAUCGAACCCAAAAGUAGGUUGCCUACGUAUCAUGUUGUACAUGAAUCAAACCUUGCAUAGUUCGGGCUGCAUAUGCAUAAGCAUCACACAAUUGAUGGUUUUUUUUUCACGAAAAACAAGUAAACAAAAGAAAGACGUAACAUCAUAACAUUUCGAUGAAAGAAACAACAAAACAUACAACAAAUUUAGGACCACUUUAAAACCAAACAACAAAUACAAAACAACAUUCUAAACCCCUAAUGACAUCCGUGCAAUUACUAAUAAAGACCCGAAUAUCAAAAACAACUUGACUCCGACUUAACACAGACACCACCCUAAAAUGAUAGAAACAUAAAAGACUCAAAACUACAUAAAGAUAAGACAUGUUCUUUCAAACUGGUGCUCUGUGUGACGUCCCCAGCUGAGAUGAACCGAUAUGUGAAGUCCCCUCUUUUCCACUCAGACGUUGCAAUAUAUCCUGCAACGACGUUUUGAUACCCGGGAACAAAUUUCUUGCCGUAUCCCUGCCUCUUAGAGAUUACACCCGCAAAGGUUUCUCUGACACCUAUCCACAGUUAAGAUCAAACGUGACAACUGAACUCUCAAAAACUCCACCUUGGCACCCGAAUCUUCCUGCUCAUCAUCCUCUACCACUAUUGCUUUCCGUAUUCGCCCUCUAAGUUGGGCUGGUAAGGGUUUACUAAUGCCACGGGCAGAGAUUGUAGCUAGAUUUCAUAGUUUUGAGUGCAUCCUGGAUUUUCCUCGAGAGUAUCGACACCUAGCUUUAUCAAAGAAUGUUGUUCGGAGUUCUUGAUUCAAGAAAUUCGAUCCAAGAAUUGACUCCUAUAGGAAAAGAAAAUUUGUCAAAAUUGCAUUCUCUCUUGCAUGUCUUGCACUCGAUCAUUCAGACAACGGUCGAUCACAUCUGCUCUAAUCAAAGAAGGCAUAUGCAAGUGCUCCAUCAUCCACAACUGUAAUAUCAGAUUACUCCCCUCGAAAAAUCGUACCCCUCCUUUUACUUCAGUUAAAGCCUUAUAUAUUUCUGUUAAGAUCAUUGGUACAAUGGUGACCUCAUCUUUUUUCUUGAAUAAAGAUAUCACCACUGAUUGUAGACGAGUAUUGAUACACCUCUCAUCUAACGGGAACACUAAGAUACCCAACAAAGCCAGACAGAAAACCUCAAGACGACGUUGUUCCCAGAUUUUUUUGGUAGUACAAAAUUCAUCCCAAAAGCAGUCAAAACCCUCUAAGGACCCAAAUCUAGCAAACAAAUUGUCCAAGGAAAUCCAAGAUUGUUUGAGACAUCCCAGAUGCUUGUUAUCUUUUAAUCCACAGAGUCGAAGGAAUUUCUUACGAGUAUGAUUGCGGGCUAAAAUCAUCUGUUGACCCAUGUUAGUCAACCGAAACAAACGAGAAACUUCUGCCAGGGUAGGAGUCAAUUCACAACUUCUGAACCUAAACACCAAAUUAUUUGGAUCCCAGAAAGUCAAUGCAACUUCUAUUAGAUCCGAACGAGGCGUGAGAUCCAUAAGUGCUACAAGAUUGCCUAACACUUUCCUCACUUCAUGCUUUUCAGAGUAAUUGAACGUGCCCCACCACUUGAUCGACUUUUUGGGUACCUUGACAACUAUAAGGACUAUAGACUUUGUAGACAGAUCCAUUCGGUAGUAGCAGAUAAGAAAUUAUCUUAAAAAUUUGAUAAGAGUAAAAGGUUCCCAACCAAUGGGAAUUUGAUGCGGACAUACGUCGAUGGGACAGAUCGCUUCAUGACUCCAAAUCGCCGAACAGUAAUGCUGAUUAAAAUCAGCCUACUUGGUUAACAACUCUAGGUUACGGGGUAAAAGACCUAGUCUAAGACUAAGACGAAGGCCAAAAUAAAGGUUACCGGACCCACCGAGGGUUGCCUAUGUAUCCCGCCCCGAGGGACGGGAAUCAGGUAUGAGUAGUUCGUCCAUGUUUGAAAAAUAAAUAUUAACUAACAGACUGACCCUAACUUAAGAGACACAACCAAAGACCGAUGAAUAAAAGAAAAAAUAGAAAAAAUUUGGGUUUUUAAUUUGACACCAACAACUAUGAAAGAAAAAAUCUUUUUGGCAUUUUCGUUAAACAAAACUUCUACCACCUUUUUUUUUGAAUUUUUCUUUUAUAAAAAAAAGCCCCUAAAAAAUCUUUUUGGAGUUUUUGAAUUGUGAAAGCUUGCUAAAGGAGACAAAAGGAAAAUCUUUUUUUCUUUUUUUCUUUUUUUUUUUGAAUUUUUGAAUCAUAGAAAACAAAAGCCAUAAAGAACUCUAAAAACUACAAAAAUCUUUUUCGGACAAUUUUUUUUUCAAUUUUUUUUUCACACACUUUACUUUCUAACACAUGCUUUACCCCACAUCAGUCUGUCAAAUGACCACGUUGUCCUCAAAGAUGCAACAUUUAGCACGUAGGAAUGCUUUAGAGGUAAGUCUCCUACAAAGGACCAAGUGGACCCGCUAGGUCUCAAUAUGAUGCACAUAAGCAUGACCUAAAGGCUGACCUACACUGGGGUUCACUAACAAGGCCGUUCGGGGGAGCAUAUGGUCGAUAGUGGCUGCUUAGCUUUCCAUCUACUCCAUACAUCCAACGGCUCCUCCCCCCUAAAAUAAAGGUGACUCAACUAGAGUUCGUGCGCACGACGUGAGCUCUAGACUUGUUGCGGAAAGAAUGACUCGGGUUAUGCACAUGAUGUCAGAUAUAAAAGAGGUAACACAUAGGAUAAAUACUGUAAACAAAGAGCACGAAAAUACACAAAAAGUGAAAACACAAACAAAAAUCACAAACAAUGAUUAUACACUCAUAAUGCCAAACAAAGCCGAUACGACUCCAAAAAAACUCGGAUUUUGAAAUCUUCCCCAGCAUAGUCGUCAGAGCUGUCACACCCCUUUUUCUAACCCCAAAAAAGAUUCGGUUUUAAGUUUUGAAAGGGUUUUUAUUAUUAAGUGACAAAAUAAAACGAUUUGUUUCGAAUAAAGAUUGUUUUUACAUUUGAAAUCAGAGUCGCCACUUGGCAUAAUCUGGUGUGCCAAGUCACCAUUGGAAAAUCUUUUUCAAAACCAUUUGACUCUUUAAACUAGUUUGCAAACAGAGAUUCCAGCCAAGGAAUUCUGUUGACCGAGGAAAAGUUAUUAGGCACCCCUUGAUCCCGUGGUUCGACCACGGUCGCUUGGUGGAGCGUAUCAACUAAUUUUGACACUAUGAAUGUACAACCCACACAAAACACGUAAAACAAUCAAACAAACAAAAAAAUCAAUAGUACAGUGUCCAGUCCAAUUUAUACAGUCCAAAAAUAAAAAUGCAAAAAUAAAUCCUAUCUAACCUACACUAAUACUAACUACACUCCCGUGCUUUACCCGACGCCUCGGACCUUCAUCACGAAUGUCCUCCGAGUACAAAUUACCUCAGGGAAUUCCCCGGUGAAUAAAGAUAUACAGAUACUUCGAGGCAUUCCCCGGCCAAAUAAUACAAUUGAUCCAAAAGUGAUAAAACAAAACCAUUCAACACCCAUUUCAACAUUCACCGCAUUGAAUCAACACCUCACUCCUAACUUUUGCCUACCCGUACCUAAAUAUUUUUGCCUAUCCAAUUCGACCUAUCAGGAUACUAUCAAGCUCGAUAUCAAUGAAUCAAAUCAACAAAAUCAUUUUUUAUCAACUUUUAACUUCC
rnacentral:lncRNA from 1 species